UGACGUCAUUAUUCUGCGACAGCCGCGACGGUUUCCCAGCUGGGCUCAGGACAGUCUUGCAAGCCAUGGGGUUUUGGCAGCGUCUAUUGUUCUUUGGUGGCCUGUCACACCGGGGUGGUGGCCGGGUCCCUUGCUCGCUUAGGGGUAUCCGAGCAUUGGUUUUUCGCCGCCAGUUAUCUGGCGCUGAGAGUGAGAACCUAAAACAAAGAAGAGCACAAAUCAUGUCCCGAGGACUUCCAAAGCAGAAACCCAUAGAAGGUGUUAAACAAGUUAUAGUUGUGGCUUCUGGAAAGGGUGGAGUUGGAAAGUCUACUACAGCAGUAAACCUUGCACUUGCACUGGCAGCGAAUGAUUCGUCAAAGGCCGUUGGUCUGUUAGAUGCCGAUGUGUAUGGUCCAUCAGUUCCAAAGAUGAUGAAUCUGAAAGGAAAUCCAGAAUUAUCACAAAAUAACCGGAUGAGGCCUCUUUUGAAUUAUGGUAUUGCUUGUAUGUCUAUGGGCUUCCUGGUUGAAGAGACUGCACCAGUCAUUUGGAGAGGCCUUAUGGUAAUGUCUGCCAUCGAGAAACUGUUGAGGCAGGUAGAUUGGGGACAACUGGACUAUUUAGUUGUUGACAUGCCGCCAGGAACAGGAGAUGUGCAGUUAUCAGUUUCACAGAAUAUUCCCAUUUCAGGUGCUGUGAUUGUCUCCACACCCCAGGACAUUGCACUAAUGGAUGCACACAAGGGUGCUGAAAUGUUUCGCAAAGUCCAUGUACCUGUUCUUGGCCUUAUCCAGAAUAUGAGUGUUUUUCAGUGUCCAAAAUGUAAACACAAAACUCAUAUUUUUGGUGCUGAUGGUGCAGAGAGGCUGGCACAGACCCUUGAUCUUAAUGUUCUGGGAGACAUUCCAUUACAUCUCAGUAUAAGGGAAGCUUCAGAUACAGGCCAGCCAGUUGUGUUUUCGCAGCCUGAAAGUGAUGAGCCAAAGUCUAAGAUUUCUAAAGCAGGCUACAUGGAAAUCUGAAGCUGACCAUCUCUGCAUUGGACGUGAGUGGGCAAGUUCAUCUAAUUUAGGCCAAAAAGCCUGAAAUGCAAGGAAAGCCAAGAUCUUCCAAGGAAAGACAAGAUGCAAACACUGCCUCACCUCUGUCAGAGCAAAGAAAGAGAUCCACAUUCCCUAUAAAUGGGUAUGAAAAAUUCAGUGAAAAUUUUAAUGAAUUGCUAAAAGCUAAAUGUGGGAUAACAAGAGAAUAUAGACCCCCUGAGAGCUGCUAACAAGGGAGUCUGCUCCAUGCACCUCAUUGGGUGCCUAAGAGGAGAAUUAAGUGCAGUGCAGGAGAGGAGAACUUGGAAAGAUUUCCUUGGUGGUAUGGACCUGAAGAGGUGAGCAUUUGCCACUGUGAGGAAAUCACAAAGCUCUACCUGAACCCUUCUGCCCUGUAGACAAAGGCCAUAGUUGGGGUGGGGUGGGGAGCAGCUAAUGCAAUAGCAAAUCUAGACCUUAGAGCAUAGAUGAAGACUUGUUUUGACCAGAGGGAGAGAAAAUAGAACAACUCUAUUCCUAGAGGAGGAACAGGAAGUCAUUUUGGCUCUAGGCCAUUAAAGAUAUCCUGUCCCUAGGGGAGGAGUAGGAUUUCUGAGAAAGCUCAAUUGCCACGACCCAGGGACCUGGCCUUGUCUAAAGCUGAGGCUUAACCAGGACAACAGAACCUCAUGCUCUACCGCAAACUAGCAGGCACUAACCUGGGGCAGCAGUCGAUCUCUUGGGGAGGGGGCAAGAUAGAGAAAGGGAAAAGGUUGACUGUUCAGGGCAGGGCAGGAAGAUGAAGGAAAAAAAAAUCAGCCUUCAAUUUAAGCACAAGUAAUACUCGAGAUAACUAGAACAACCACAAAGCCUAAGCAAAAUGAACUGACGAGACUAAUGGCUCUCCACAGUAAAGUACUGUCAGAAGAUGACACAUGUUCAUUUCUAAUAUUUUUAUCUCUUUACUAUCCUGUGCAUGCAUACUGCCCAGCAUUUAAUAAUUUUUAAUAAUUAAGUAAAAAUAAUCAAGGAAAAUCAACCCCUAUGUCAAGAGACAAAGCAAUCAACAGAGGCCAGACGCAAAGACAAUCCAGAUAUUGGCUACUGAAUAGAAAAUUUUAAAUGCCUGUGAUUAGUAUGUUAAAAGUUCUAUUGGAAUAAGUGGACAAUACACCUGGGCAGAUGAAUUUCAGUAGAGAGAUGGAAGCUAUAAGAACAAAAUCAGAAAUUAAAAAAACAACACCAGAGAUGAAGAAUGCCUUGACACAUGAAUCAAUGAACUUGAAGAUAGGUAAACAGGAAGUACACAGAUUAAGGUAUAAAGAGUACAAAGUUACAUAAACACAGACACUAUGCAAGGGGGUGGCUGAAAUGGGGUCUCAUAAGGAGAACAGAGGCACAUAAGGACAGAUGAUGUACUUUAUAGAAAUAACUGAUGAAAAUUUUCAGACAUCAAACCAUGAAAUUCACAAAGCUCAGAAAGCCGAGAGCAAAAAUUUUAAAAUUUCAAAUUUUAAAACAUGAUAUGGAAACUGUUGAAAACUGAAGAAAAUCUUAAGGCUGUAAAAGAAAAAAAUUAUUAUUAUAUAUAAACAGUUUCAGCAGACCUGCUAUAUAUACAUGGUAAGUCAAUGGAGUGACACCUUUAUUUUUUUUUGUUGUUUUGGGGCACUGGGGAUUGAACUCAGGACCUUGCACUUGCGAGGCAGCCACGGAACCGCUGAGCUAAAUCCCUGGCCCCAACACCUGUAAAGUACUGAAAUUAACCAAACUCUCAAUCAAGAAUUCUACAUCAGUUAAAACAACAUUCAAAAGCUAAAAAUCUUUUCCAAACAGAAGCCAAGAGAGUUCAUUAACAGCAACUAUAUUACAAUAAGUAUAACAGGAAAUUCUUCAAGUGGAAGGACUAGAAUACCAGACAGAAACUCACCUAUUCAAAGAAGUGAAGAUCUCUGAAAAUGGUUGAGAUAAAAAUAAAAUAGAGGAAAUACUGUUUUAUUUUUAAUCAUUCUAAAAGACAAUUGGCUAAAUAAUAGUGAUGUAUUAUGGUUAUAUAGCAAGUGUAAAAAAUAUAUAUGGCAACAAUAAUUUAAAAUGAGGCUAUAUUGAGAGUACACUUUUAUAAAAUUCUAAACAUAGUAUGAGAAAUUGCAUAUUUAAGGGUAGGUUGAGAGUAAUUAAAGCUGAGCAUUGUAAAUUUUAAGACAAUUACUAACAUUUUUAAAGUUAAAUAAUUUUAAAGUUAAAUUAUAAGCCAGUAGUGGAGAUAAAAUGGAAUUAUAAAAAGUACUUUAUCCAGAUGCAAGCAGAGAAAGGUACAAAAGAAACAGAACAAAUAGAAAGUAGCUAGAAUGAUGACAGAUUUUAAUCCAAACAAUUUUAAUGAACAAAAUUGCCUUAAACAUACUAAUUAAAAGAAGAACAUGCAAUUGGAUGUAAAAGACCCAACCAUAUAUUCUCUAAGAGAAAACCUGUCCUCCCCUCCCCUCCCUUCCUUUCUCCUUCCCUCUUUUUCCUUCCCCUCCCCUCCUUCUGGGCCUUCCCUGUGUUUCCCAUGCUGCUCUUCAACUCCUGGACUCAAGUCUCAUCUCAGCCACCCAAAUACCUGGGACUGAGAUAUGCAAGAUAAUCAUUAGUCAAAAGAAAGAUGAAGUGACUAUAUUAUCAGACACCAUUGGCUUUGGUGUAAGGAACAUUGCCAGAGAUGAAGAGAGACAUUAUAUAAUAAUAAAUGUAUUAUUAGCCAAGAAUAAACAUUCCAAACAUGUAUCCACCUAACAAAACGGCCUUGAAAUACAGGGAGCAAACACUGAUAGAAGUAGAAGUAAAUAAAUUCACAAUUAUAGUUAGAGACUAACUCGGUGAUCAUGGAAUAAGAACAUAUGCUCAGGAAGGAUUGGAAGGCCUGACCAAUAUUUACAGGCCGCUUCACCCCCAAACAGCAAAAUACACAUUAUUUUCUCAUGCAUGUGGAAUGUGUACCAAGAUAGACCAGGUUCCAGCCAUAAAACAUACUUAAAUGUAUUUAACAUAAGCCAUAUAAAAUGUUCUUUUAUUUUAACAGAUUUAAGUAGAAUUCAAUAACAAAAAGAAAUCUAGAAGCUCCCACAUGUGGAAAUGAAACAAUUUUAAAUGAUCAUGCACCAAUAAGUCAGAAGGGAAAUUAUAAAACAUUUUGAAAUUAACAAAAAUGAGAACAAAACAUCAAAAUUUGUGGAAUGCAGCUAAAGCAAUGUUUAUAGUUCAAAUGACUAUAUUAGAAAAGGAUAAAGGUCUCAUAUCAAUGAAGUAAACUGCAUUAAAAACCUAAAGGUCAAAUAAGAAAGAAAAAAUUAAUACAAUCGAGAAUAAAAGCAAUAGAGAAAACAAUGAAAUCAAAAGCUGAUGUAGGCCAGGGGUUUAGCUCAGUGGUUUCACUGCCCGCCUCGCAAGUGCAAGGUCCCGAGCUCCAUCCCCGGUACCAAAAAAAAAAGAAAAAACUGGUGUAAACGUAGAAAUGUGGAUCUAUGGGACAGAGCAGAGAAUUAAGAAACAUACAUACAUAGAUACGGUAACUUACUUUCAGCUAAGAUGACAAGCCGUUCAAUGGAGAAUGGAUAUUCUUUUCAACAUUACACUUGAAGAAUUAGACAUCUUUUUGCAAAAAAAGAAUUACUCUUGCCCUAUACCUUACAAUUUUGAAAAAAAAAAAAAAAGUCUACACACCUAAAUGCAGAAUCGAAA